CGGACGGGUGAGUAAUGUAUAGGAACUUGCCUAGUAGUGGGGGACAACGUGUGGAAACGCACGCUAAUACCGCAUACGCUCUACGGAGGAAAGCGGGGGAUCUUCGGACCUCGUGCUACUAGAUGGGCCUAUAUUGGAUUAGCUAGUUGGUAAGGUAAAGGCUUACCAAGGCGACGAUCCAUAGCUGGUUUGAGAGAAUAAUCAGCCACACUGGGACUGAGACACGGCCCAG
rnacentral:rRNA from 1 species